GAUGAACGCUGGCGGCGUGCUUAACACAUGCAAGUCGAACGAGAAGUGAAGACGGAAACCUUCGGGCGGAAGGCUUUAUUUCGAGUGGCGGACGGGUGAGUAACGCGUGGGUAACCUGCCUCAUACAGGGGGAUAACAGUUGGAAACGACUGUUAAUACCGCAUAAGUCCACAGCACCGCAUGGUGCGGGGGUAAAAACUCCGGUGGUAUGAGAUGGACCCGCGUUCGAUUAGCCAGUUGGCGGGGUAACGGCCCACCAAAGCGACGAUCGAUAGCCGAUCUGAGAGGAUGACCGGCCACAUUGGGACUGAGACACGGCCCAAACUCCUACGGGAGGCAGCAGUGGGGAAUAUUGCACAAUGGGGGAAACCCUGAUGCAGCGACGCCGCGUGAGUGAAGAAGUAUUUCGGUAUGUAAAGCUCUAUCAGCAGGGAAGAAAAUGACGGUACCUGAGUAAGAAGCCCCGGCUAACUACGUG
rnacentral:rRNA from 1 species